rnacentral:lncRNA from 1 species
AAUUUGCUCUGCUUUUGAAAACAAGAAGAUGGAAGAAGCAAAGAAAGGUCAAAUUCAAGGCUCUGACAGAAAAAUGAAGACAUUAGUGCUUUCAGAGGUAUCAUGGACAUAUACACAAGUGGACACUCACACAAAUUCCUAUCUCAUGGAAAUGAUGGUGAAGAAAGAAGAGAUAAUGUGCAUGAUUAUCUGUUGUGGAAACACCUAA